UACGUAGGCAGCGAGCGUUGUUCGGAGUUACUGGGCGUAAAGAGUGCGUAGGCGGUUUUCUAAGUUUGGUGGGAAAUCUCCCGGCUUAACUGGGAGGGUGCGCCGAAGACUGGAAGGCUUGAGUAUGGGAGAGGUAAGCGGAAUUCCUGGUGUAGCGGUGAAAUGCGUAGAUAUCUGGAGGAACACCGGUGGCGAAGGCGGCAUCCUGGACCGGCAUUGACGCUGAGGCGCGAAAGCGUGGGGAGCAAACAGG
rnacentral:rRNA from 1 species